UUUACAGAAACUUUUUCGAAAGUGGAUUUGUAUAUACAUAUUUCUUGGUAACAAGAACAGAACAAAAUUACGACCAAUUCAUUACAUUCUAAAAUGUAAAAAUGAAACAAUAUAUGAGCCAGAAUAAAUGUUCCGGAGCAAUAUUUAGCUAAGCGGUAAUUGUUUUUUAAAAUUUUGUUCAAGCUCCAAUAGAUAGGUAUACGGACAACCACAACUCACAAGGUAUGGAAUAGUCGUACCGAGCCACCGAGGAGCCGACGAAAGAAAAAAAUGAUCGACGGCAACGGCG